CAUCGAUGAAGAACGCAGCGAAAUGCGAUACGUAAUGUGAAUUGCAAAUUCAGUGAAUCAUCGAGUCUUUGAACGCACAUUGCGCCCCCUGGUAUUCCGGGGGGCAUGCCUGUCCGAGCGUCAUUGCUGCCCUCAAGCCCGGCUUGUGUGUUGGGCCCCGUCCUCCGAUUCCGGGGGACGGGCCCGAAAGGCAGCGGCGGCACCGCGUCCGGUCCUCGAGCGUAUGGGGCUUUGUCACCCGCUCUGUAGGCCCGGCCGGCGCUUGCCGAUCAACCCAAAUUUUUAUCCAGGUUGACCUCGGAUCAGGUAGGGAUACCCGCUGAACUUAAGCAUAUCAAUAAGCGGAGGAA
rnacentral:rRNA from 1 species